UAAUGCACAUAUUCAAUUCUCUACAUGUGACACACAUUGAGGAAGCACAGGGUUCAACCCCAUAGCCAGAAGCAACCAUCUCCACACUUACCCACUGCUAAUGUAUGUUUCUCUCCUCAACAUGAGGUGUUUGUGUUUGAUUCUCUGCAUUCUGACAGGACAAUGGCUACUGACUUCAUGUCUGCAGGUCAUACAGGUCCAUCAGAACCCAGAGAACCUGAUUCUUUCUCCUGGAUCAUCACUGAGCAUCUCCUGCUCUAUAACUGGUACGAACAACCCGUAUCUUUACUGGUACCACUGGAAUGAAACAGCAGGAUUCACAUUGAUCUUCACCUCUCGAAUUACUGGUUCAGUGAAUCCAGCCAGUGAGGGUCAGUUUAAAUCUCACAGACCUAAAGACCUUCAGAUCAUUCUGGAGUCUGAUGGAGUGAGUGAGAUCGGCUCUGCAGCGUGGUACUGUGCAGCCAGACCCCACAGCAUCACAGUGUCAUCACAGAGCUGUACAAAAACCAAAAUGUCUCAUUAAACUUGGGUUUCUCAAAUGCACAGCUUUGUGUGCAUUUUACAUUAUUGA